CGCCUCGGCCCUUAUGGGCGUUUCCUCCCUAAUGAACUGCCGCGCCGAUGGCGCGGCUUUUUUUUGGCCUGA
rnacentral:sRNA from 1 species